AACGUAGGUUCCGAGCGUUAUCCGGAUUUACUGGGCGUAAAGCGCGUUCAGGCGGUUUGGCAAGUCGGGCAUGAAAUCUCUGGGCUCAACCCGGAGAGGUUGUCCGAUACUGCUGAACUGGAGGGCAGUAGAGGGUGGUGGAAUUCCGGGUGUAGUGGUGAAAUGCGUAGAGAUCCGGAGGAACACCAGUGGCGAAAGCGGCCACCUGGACUGCACCUGACGCUGAAACGCGAAAGCUAGGGGAGCGAACGGG
rnacentral:rRNA from 1 species